UUAGUAUACCCAACACUUAUUAACUGUUGGAAAAAGAUGCAUUUUAUAUUUAAUUAAUAAUUUAUUCAAAAAAAAAAAUCUGGGCUGAAACUAUUGGGACAGGUUCGAAAAUUUCAGACCAAUAUCCAAAUCUCAUCUCUCUCGACAAUAACCCUAAUUUUCAGACCUCACCACGAUUUUGUUCGACUAUUCUGACGGCAGCUCCUCACCACGAGCUUGGGAAACGAUUCACAAGUCUCUCCGCUUCUCCCUCAUUUCUUCAAUUGAGUUAUGCCAAGAAAUUCCACCGGACUUCACCUUUGCUCUGUCCGGUUCCAGAGUUUAAAAGGAGCAUAUCAUUCUCUUACACUAACAAAGAAAUCAAUGAAAUACGUGACGAAUGGGCAAAGUAUGUCAUGCAGAUGAUGGCAGGAGGCAAAUGACUAAUAACAUAGAGUAUGAUGACCAAUGAUCGCUCAUGGACGAUCCCCAUGUGAUCCAAGAAGACGGUUGAUAGGUUUGACAUCGAUCACAGUUACUAUUGUCUUGCUUUUUUGGUUUUUAGGAAGUGAUCUCCAGCUAUUUGAUUAAAGUCCCAAGUGACUACCUAUUUUUAGAUGUUCUGAAGAUAUUCUACAAAAGAUUGCAAAAUGUAAAAACUUAAUUGGAUAUUUGUUCUUAUGGAUUUCAUGAAGCUUUAAUCCUUUUGAAGAGUGUUAAAUGUAUGAAUUUUUUUUAUAAAAA